rnacentral:tRNA from 1 species
GAUUAAAUGGCUGAAGUUUAGGCGAUAGACUGUAAAUCUAUAUAUAAGAAGUAUUUCUUUUUAAUCA